AUCCAGCUGACGAGUCCCAAAUAGAAGGAAACGAGCAUCCUGAAU
rnacentral:hammerhead_ribozyme from 1 species